rnacentral:rRNA from 1 species
UUGGUGUGAUUGCAGAAUCCGUGAACCAUCGAGUCUUUGAACGCAAGUUGCGCCCAAAGCCUUCGGGUCGAGGGCACGUCUGCCUGGGUGUCACGCAACGUCG